rfam:Echinostoma caproni strain Egypt genome assembly, scaffold: ECPE_scaffold0009706
GCAUUGCUGACGAGUCCCGAACAGAACGAAACAGCUGUCCAGUGC